UACUUUCUGUGUGGUCUAGUAUAUCCAUUUGUCUAUGGUACAAACAAGCAUUGACUGGAAACCCCAAAGUGAGAAGGAAAGGGAUUACCAAUGAAGUUUUAAUGUGCAUCCUCUAUUCUGAAUUUUCAGCCCUUGUCUAUUGCCUGUUGUUCCUCUCAUUUUGACAAUCAGUUGAUCAUUGGCUCAACUCUUGUGGAGAAGUUGAAGGAUUUUGUGUCAGCUAAAACUUUUGUAAGAGGAGAUCAUCCAGUAUUCUUGCUUUCUCUGUAAGAGUUUUUACUGAACUCGUGAAUAUUGGAACCGGAUCAUGCAAUGCUACCCAUCACUUCAAGGUUCAAACUAGUUUUCGUUUGGCGGAAUGACCUGGGAGACCCUUAUAUUUGGCUCCGUUUGUUAGUUAUGUCAAUGACUUUACUACAGCCUUAAUAUCAAAUUACUCCAUUAAUUAUACACACAAUUAUCCCAAAUAACC